rnacentral:tmRNA from 1 species
GGGGCUGACCGGAAUUGACGGCAUGAUUUGUAAGUAUACCCGCAGGUCGAGUGUUGUGAAUCUCACUCGUAAAUCCCAAUUCAUAAUCUUUAUUUUAAAUGGCGAGUCUAACUUUGCCAUGGCUGCCUAAUUCUAGGAAUUAGAAGCCUUUGUCCUUGAUGUUUGACAUCCGAUAGGAUAUUAUAGGGCAUUAUAAGUAUCGGGUCCUCACUAAGUAAGAAUUUUCUACUUACUUAAUGUUGUAAUUGACAGAAAUACGGAUUGAGUAGUUUUGUAAAUCGAGCAGCUAAAUCCCGACAAUAUUCGUUUUACUAAGCUUGUAGAAAGUAUGCGGACAACAUGACCGGACCAGGGUUCGAAUCCCUGCAGCUCCACCA